ACGGAAGGUCCGGGCGUUAUCCGGAUUUAUUGGGUUUAAAGGGAGCGUAGGCCGUCUGUUAAGCGUGUUGUGAAAUGUCGGGGCUCAACCUGGGCAUUGCAGCGCGAACUGGCAGACUUGAGUGCGCGGGAAGUAGGCGGAAUUCGUCGUGUAGCGGUGAAAUGCUUAGAUAUGACGAAGAACUCCGAUUGCGAAGGCAGCCUGCUGUAGCGUAACUGACGCUGAAGCUCGAAAGCGUGGGUAUCGAACAG
rnacentral:rRNA from 1 species